rnacentral:rRNA from 1 species
GAUGAACGCUGGCGGCGUGCCUAACACAUGCAAGUCGAGCGAACGGACGAGAAGCUUGCUUCUCUGAUGUUAGCGGCGGACGGGUGAGUAACACGUGGAUAACCUACCUAUAAGACUGGGAUAACUUCGGGAAACCGGAGCUAAUACCGGAUAAUAUUUUGAACCGCAUGGUUCAAAAGUGAAAGACGGUCUUGCUGUCACUUAUAGAUUGAUCCGCGCUGCAUUAGCUAGUUGGUAAGGUAACGGCUUACUAAGGCAACGAUGCAUAGCCGACCUGAGAGGGUGAUCGGCCACACUGGAACUGAGACACGGUCCAGACUCCUACGGGAGGCAGCAGUAGGGAAUCUUCCGCAAUGGGCGAAAGCCUGACGGAGCAACGCCGCGUGAGUGAUGAAGGUCUUCGGAUCGUAAAACUCUGUUAUUAGGGAAGAACAUAUGUGUAAGUAACUGUGCACAUCUUGACGGUACCUAAUCAGAAAGCCACGGCUAACUACGUG